ensembl:lncRNA
UAUUGUGCCACUGAAUUUUCUAUGCACAGAGGAAAAGGUUGGGUGCUUGGUUGCUGCUCAGUUGCUGCAAUAAGGACAUGACAAGCACUCAUGAAGGAGUAGCUGCAAGUUGCCUUCUAAGGGUCCACAGGACCAUAUUGUCUUUAGCAGUUCCCUGUCAUCUGAAGGAAAAUCAGCUUCUUGGAACAGUAUUCCAAAAGUUCAUGUGUUUUGAAACUGUCUGGUAUUUUUCAGAGGUCUUCUGUAAAGUAAUAAAGUCAUGGAAGUCCAUUGAGAGAGCCCUUUUCAAUCCAGUGGCACAAAAUGUGUUCCAUGCCUUCAAAGACAAAAGUUCAGAUCUUCAUGUUGAGUGGAAAUAAAACAUCUGCAAAUUCAAGAAACAAGGUUUGAUAUCUGCUCAAGUUUACAUCACAUAAAAACAUUAAUAUGAGGAAUCAAGCUGAUGGAAUGACAAGUUUGAAUUCACAAGCAGGAACAAGUAACUACAAACCUACUGGGGAAGGACAGGGUGGGAAAUAUUUUAGGAAUGCCUUAAGAAUAUACUGUUGCCCAAUAAUUAAUGUCAUCAAAAUUAUCAGCUUGAGGUCAGCCAGUGUUAUUUAAGCAUGUGAAUAAAGCUUGUACCCCAAUUUUAAAAAUAUCUGCUUUUGUGACAGAGGAAAUAGCGUGGAAUGCAAAAGGAAUUGAGUUGGUAGUAAUUCAUGUUUGAAAGUUAGUUUUAAUGUAACUUUUCAAAAAAUUUAGCCCAAGUCCAGGACUGACUCAUGGAGACAGAACAUCAGCAUUUACCUUCUAAUGCUCAAGUGUUCAUGACAGCAAAUUAUGUACCCUAUACUUUCUGUAAACAAUUAAAGUUGCUUAACUAAUUAAAGUUCUUGCUGCACUACUUAUUCAGCUAAAUUAUGUUCUUUGGUAAGCAAAGUGACAUAAGACGACCUAAGUAAAUAGAUUCAAUAGAUUCUAAUGAAUAAAUUGCACAGAUCGUGUAUUACCUGUUCAGUGACCAGAAGCCCAAAUAUUUUCUGUGAACACUUAAAAAUAAUUCCAGGUGGCAACAUUGAGAAUUUCAAUUAUUUUCAUAGAUCACUGG